rnacentral:rRNA from 1 species
GGUGGUAAUGCCGGAUGUUCCACAUGAUCGCAUGUGAUUGUGGGAAAGAUUCUAUCGGCGUGGGAUGGGGUCGCGUCCUAUCAGCUUGUUGGUGAGGUAACGGCUCACCAAGGCUUCGACGGGUAGCCGGCCUGAGAGGGCGACCGGCCACAUUGGGACUGAGAUACGGCCCAGACUCCUACGGGAGGCAGCAGUGGGGAAUAUUGCACAAUGGGCGCAAGCCUGAUGCAGCGACGCCGCGUGAGGGAUGGAGGCCUUCGGGUUGUAAACCUCUUUUGUUUGGGAGCAAGCCUUCGGGUGAGUGUACCUUUCGAAUAAGCGCCGGCUAACUACGUGCCAGCAGCCGCGGUAAUACGUAGGGCGCAAGCGUUAUCCGGAUUUAUUGGGCGUAAAGGGCUCGUAGGCGGCUCGUCGCGUCCGGUGUGAAAGUCCAUCGCUUAACGGUGGAUCUGCGCCGGGUACGGGCGGGCUGGAGUGCGGUAGGGGAGACUGGAAUUCCCGGUGUAACGGUGGAAUGUGUAGAUAUCGGAAAA